UACGAGAGGCCCAAACGUUAUUCGGAAUUACUGGGCUUAAAGAGUUCGUAGGCGGCAUUACAAGUAGGGUGUGAAAGCCCUCGGCUCAACCGAGGAAUUGCGCUCUAAACUGUCGUGCUAGAGGAACCUAGAGGUGAGCAGAACAGAUGGUGGAGCGGUGAAAUGCGUUGAUAUCAUCUGGAAUACCGGAGGCGAAGGCGGCUCACUGGGGGUUUUCUGACGCUGAGGAACGAAAGCCAGGGGAGCAAACGGG
rnacentral:rRNA from 1 species